AAGUCGUAACAAGGUUUCCGUAGGUGAACCUGCGGAAGGAUCAUUAACACUAUUUUCGAUGCCUUUUGAAAAUUGGAAUGCUAUUCAAUUUUCGGGCACAAUCCAAACUUACCCAAACUUUUUUUAAAAGUGCUGGUGUUUUGCGAUCAAAAGCAAAACCUCUUUUUUUCUAUUAUAUAUCUCAAAACAAAAACCCCAAAUCUUUUUUUGCAAAUGCAAUUGAACAAAUUUAAACCUAAAAAAAAUUACUAAUGUAACCAAACAACUCUUAGCAACGGAUAUCUUGGCUCUC
rnacentral:misc_RNA from 1 species